rnacentral:tRNA from 1 species
GCACCAGUAGCUCAUUUGGUAGAGCGUGCUAUUGCAAAUCGCAAGGUAGCGCGUUCGAUCCGCGCCUGGGGCU